UUUAACACUGGUUCUAGAUAACUUGAAGUUAACUUAAUUAAAACUUGCCAACUGUGUGCGUAACCGUGACUGUCUCUUUCGUGAGUUCCUUCUCCGAUAGAGGACACGGUGGGGUUAUGUCUGACGUAGGUAGGUGUUCAGGAUCAUUCAUUUGAUCAUCAGUAGAUCACGUCCGCUAUGCGUAGAUCUUCCCCCUCUUAUUU
rnacentral:lncRNA from 1 species